UGGGUCUGCAGUCGAGAUUCCUACGGGAGGCAGCAGUAGGGAAUCUUAGACAAUGGGCGCAAGCCUGAUCUAGCCAUGCCGCGUGUGUGAUGAAGGCCUUAGGGUCGUAAAGCACUUUCGCUAGGGAUGAUAAUGACAGUACCUAGUAAAGAAACCCCGGCUAACUCCGUGCCAGCAGCCGCGGUAAUACGGAGGGGGUUAGCGUUGUUCGGAAUUACUGGGCGUAAAGCGUACGUAGGCGGAUCAGAAAGUAGGGGGUGAAAUCCCGAGGCUCAACCUCGGAACUGCCUCCUAAACUCCUGGUCUUGAGUUCGAGAGAGGUGAGUGGAAUUCCAAGUGUAGAGGUGAAAUUCGUAGAUAUUUGGAGGAACACCAGUGGCGAAGGCGGCUCACUGGCUCGAUACUGACGCUGAGGUACGAAAGUGUGGGGAGCAAACAGGAUUAGAUACCCUGGUAGUCCACACCGUAAACGAUGAAUGCCAGUCGUCGGGUAGCAUGCUAUUCGGUGACACACCUAACGGAUUAAGCAUUCCGCCUGGGGAGUACGGUCGCAAGAUUAAAACUCAAAGGAAUUGACGG
rnacentral:rRNA from 1 species